CACUCCGAUCAAUUCCCAUCAAUCUCCAAAGUUAGUGUGAUUUCACACAAGGCAACUCCUAUUCCAUAUUCAUCAGUGCCCAUCUCAAGCACUCCAUAUAAAACAGCUUAUGCCACACCAAACUAUUCACCUGCACAGCGAGCUAGCCCUCUCAGGGUAGAAAAAUCACCUUUCAUGACCAAUGCCAAGAUUUCUCCUCAGCGUGGAUUAGGCGUAAAGAAGGUUCUGACUGAUUAUCUUAGCAUUGAUACAAAAGGAAAGAACUACAGCAACUCGACUGAGUCACCAGGUUCAGUCUCGGACACGAUACAAGCAACUCUUGCAUCUCAAAUGCGACGAGGUUCUUUUGAGUCUUCAAGCGCAUCAAGCAGCCCGGUGACUCAGGACUCAGACACACAGGAAAGGAUCCACAUUUAGGUUGUUGGCUCUUGUUAGAACAAGAUGUGUGUAAUGGUGUUGAGUUGAGAAGUUCAUAUUUGUAAUGUGCAUUACUUGUAUUUCCAGUUUUGAGUUUGUUCCCGAGUCACUGUCUGGCAUGGGUCAAGCAGUGAUUGUAAAGAGAGAACUAAUUCCUACACUACUACUUUGGACAGAGUAUAUGAAGUUCUGUUGCUUUCUCAUGCAGCCUGUGGAUCUGAUAGUCAGUGCAUGAUAUCACUAGAGCAUUUUGAUUACAUCAAGUUGGGUUUGCAACUCGGUGUUCAAUAUUUAAUCUUUGGCGACGUGAUCCCUCAGCAAGCUCAAGUGUAGCUCUAGCCCUGCAUCUGUAUGUCCAUUUAGGUUGCACACCCCUGUACUUGCAACUAGACUUAAAUCACAAGUGACCUGUGAUCCCAAAUCUCAUCGCAUUCAAGUAUCAAAUUUGAUGCAUGCUGUAAAGCUCGGUUCUUCUCUGCAUCCAUAUCCUUAUCUCGAUCAUCUCCUUCCUUCUAGCACGUUCAAGACGUGAGGCUGCACCCAAGUUGUAGU
rnacentral:lncRNA from 1 species